UGCUGAAUUACUUUAACCUUCUCUAUGGCUUGAUAAACAAGAUUCGGUCCGAACAAAAAAGUUUCACCCACUUCGAACCAUCCUAUUGGUGAUCUACACUUCAUUCCAUAUAAAGCUUCAUAUGGUGCCAUUUUGAUACUUGAAUGAUAGCUAUUAUUGUAGGCAAACUCAAUAAGAGGUAAAUGAUCAUCCCAGUUGCCCUUAAAAUCUA
rnacentral:lncRNA from 1 species